ensembl:lncRNA
GACAGAUGUCUUCAAAAACAACAAUAACAACAACAAUAAUAAUAACAACAAAGAGCAUUUAUAAACAAACAUGUUCCCUAUGAAGAGUUCUGAGCUCUCAGUACGGAAUAAGUAACUUACCUUUAAACCACUAACACUGCUUUACUCUCUUAUUCUGUUUUCAUUAUUAUUAUUAUUAUUAUUAUUAUUAAUGAUAUAAUUGUACACUGUGUAAUUUAAAGCGAGUAGAAAAGAAAGAAAGUAGCAGUAAAUUUUCUGUGAUCUUAGAUGGAACAGUAAGUCAGGCUGGAGGAGGAUUUCAAAGAGGCUUCACUUUUCUCACAAAGGAAAUCCUGAAACAGGAAGCAGCAGAAACAGCAGAGAAACAGUGAAAACAGAACCAUCACCAGUGUUUUUAACCAGUGUUUGGAAGCAGAGUUUGGAAGUUCACCUGGGUGUAUUCAGGGGAGGAGUACCAGUCAGUUUGACAGGUUCAACUUAUAGUAAACCACAAUCUGUAGAAGAUUUGGACCAGUUAAAAAAAAUAAAGCUAAAAGGUCUUACCCCAUGAGCUGAUUGAUGAUACCUAAUGCUGCUAUGACAACACAGGACAACCAUAAACCACAGACCCCAGUACAGGGCAGAGGACAGCGCUACUUUGGGCAUUCCAGGAGGAUUCCUGUUGUAGUCGAGCCAUGCAGUCCUGCAGUUCAGCUCUCUGUGUCCUGAUCUUACUGAUCACCACAUUCACUGCUGUGUAUGUGUCAGCUGUUCCUCUAGUGAAGGUGAAGCUUCAUGACUCUGCUACUCUGCCCUGCUCUGAGACAUGUUCUGGUUUGGUCAGAUGGACUGAGUUCCAUAAUCCCACUGAUGUUCUGGCUGAGUGUGAUCAGACUUCAUGUAGAUCAGUGAAGGAGGGAUAUCAGAUGAUCCAUGAUCAGUACCUGAAGGGAGAUCUCUCUCUCACCAUCACUGACGCUGAUUACAGUAUGAUGGGCACGUACACAUGUGAGUGCGGUAAUUCUGAACUCUGUGAUGUGCGGCUUCAGGUUGAGGAAACACCAGAGGCAGGGAACAAUAUUUCUGGCAGCAGUCAUACUAAAGGAACGUCCCACGUGUAUGUGUCAGCUGUUCCUCUAGUGAGGGUGAAGCUUCAUGACUCUGCUACUCUGCCCUGCUCUGAGACAUGUUCUGGUUUGGUCAGAUGGACUGAGUUCCAUAAUCCCACUGAUGUUCUGGCUGAGUGUGAUCAGACCUCAUGUAGAUCAGUGAAGGAGGGAUAUCAGAUGAUCCAUGAUCAGUACCUGAAGGGAGAUUUCUCUCUCACCAUCACUGACGCUGAUUACAGUAUGAUGGGCACGUACACAUGUGAGUGCGGUAAUUCUGAACUCUGUGAUGUGCGGCUUCAGGUUGAGGAAACACCAGAGGCAGGGAACAAUAUUUCUGGCAGCAGUCAUACUAAAGGAACGUCCCACGGUAAGAUCUGUCCAGUUACAAAACACUAGCAGGGCCAGUUCUAGCAUUUUUGGGAGGCCUAGGCAGGUUUUUUUUUUUUUUUUGUGGGGGGGGGGGGGCGGGGGUAUCUUGCUUGCUGAUGCACUGUAAAAGUGGAAGCUAACUCAUAACAACGAUUACCACCAGCUGUGUAAAUUACGUACAUUUGUAAGUAGCUAAUUGUGUAAUUCUGAUUACUGGAUGCUAGUUUGGGGUUUUAAUAUGUUACCAUUUAAAUUACAGCUAACCUUCUAAAGAUUUAGAGCCAGUAAUUCUCAGUCUGUAAACAGUUUUACAGCCCAUCUUGUUUGCUGAACUGUAUUCUAAUCGUGUUGUUGUCCACUUGCUCAGGAUCAGUACAGCAGGUUGGGAAUCUGGUGUGGUUCUGUGGCCACUUUUCUUCAGUAUCUGAUUAAACGGACCUAAUUUCAAAUACUAUCUCAUAAAAGUCAUCUAACGUGUCAGUUUUAUGUUUUUCAUUGUACUAAAGUGGAAACUUAGUAACCUAAUAAUUACCUGCAGCGUAAAGACACUUCAAAU